UUUUGAGAAAGAAGAACUUAGAAGCAAGUGGGAGAAAGUAGAAGUCAUGUUCAUCUUCUCCAUUUUUGCAACCCAUGGACAGCCUCCACUAAAAGUGCCAUAACUCUCUGCUCACAACUCUGAUUCAGGAGAUAAAUGAGUUUGAAGUUGAUGGAUCCAUGCUGAAAGUGUGAAUAAGAGGGUUACGGGUUUGUUCAUGUUAGAAGUGAAGUUUUGAUCAAGAAGCAAGUUCAAUGGCAGCAAAGAAUACCUUUCUAACCUCUAUUUAACCAAGAUUAAGGAGUAGCGGCAUUAGUGCUCGGUGAGGAUGACUCGUAGAGUUUAUCCGUUGUUUUGGGUCGUGUUGGUCAUGCUCUGAUCUUGUAACACUGGGGGAUGAUAGUUAUAGAGAUUUAUGAGAAUUCUCUAU